GGUACUCACAGAAGAAGUCCUGGCUAACUCCGUGCCAGCAGCCGCGGUAAUACGGAGAGGGCUAGCGUUAUUCGGAAUUAUUGGGCGUAAAGGGCGCGUAGGCGGAUUAGUAAGUUAAAAGUGAAAUCCCAAGGCUCAACCUUGGAAUUGCUUUUAAAACUGCUAAUCUAGAGAUGAAAGAGGAUAGAGGAAUUCCUAGUGUAGAGGUGAAAUUCGUAAAUAUUAGGAGGAACACCAGUGGCGAAGGCGUCUAUCUGGUUCAAAUCUGACGCUGAGGCGCGAAGGCGUGGGGGAGCAAACAGGAUUAGAUACCCUGGUAGUCCACGCUGUAAACGAUGAAUGUUAAAUAUGGGAAGUUUUACUUUCUGUAUUACAGCUAACGCGUUAAACAUUCCGCCUGGGGACUACGGUCGCAAAGAUUAAAACUCAAAGGAAUUGACGGGGACCCGCACAAGCGGUGGAGCAUGUGG
rnacentral:rRNA from 1 species